rnacentral:rRNA from 1 species
AACGAACGCUGGCGGCAGGCUUAACACAUGCAAGUCGAACGAACGUAGCAAUACGUUAGUGGCGCACGGGUGAGUAACGCGUGGAUAUCUGCCUUUUGGUUCGGGAUAACCUUGGGAAACUAGGGCUAAUACCGAAUGGUUCCUACGGGAUAAAGAUUUAUCGCCAAAAGAUGAGUCCGCGUCCGAUUAGCUAGUUGGUGUGGUAACGGCGCACCAAGGCGACGAUCGGUAGCUGGUCUGAGAGGACGAUCAGCCACACUGGGACUGAGACACGGCCCAGACUCCUACGGGAGGCAGCAGUGGGGAAUAUUGGACAAUGGGGGCAACCCUGAUCCAGCCAUGCCGCGUGAGUGAUGAAGGCCUUCGGGUUGUAAAGCUCUUUUGGCGGGGACGAUGAUGACGGUACCCGCAGAAUAAGCCCCGGCUAACUUCGUGCCAGCCGCCGCAGUAA